GUGAAAUAUUAUCAGAUUAACAACAGAGGAUGAGAUGAUUCACUGUAACCCAACAACACACUUCAACAACAGAUGGACCUGGAACAGAGACAAGGAGAUAUAUACAGUAUAUAUAGACAUGAAGUUUUAAGAGACGGGGCAUCCUGCUACAGCUGGCACGCUGAUGAACAGAAGUGAUUUAGAUCAGACGGACAGGAGGAAAACAAGAGAGAGAGACCAGGGUAUCAGCGCCGGUCAAUGCAGAUGGCAUUUUAAGGCCAAAGCUUUUCCAAAAGUGUACAAUUAUGAUGCAUCAGAAUCACAGAAGAAUAUGAUAGACACUGGUAGCAGAUUGAAAUACGUCUGUGAUGCAGCACAAAAGUGUGGAAAUGUGUUGAAAGGCAGCUCUGCUCCGUCAGGAUUCAUGACAGGAUCAAUAUUCCACGCGGGUUGGUUGGUGAGCGAGCGGAAAAUCACCUGUUCAUGCUGGAUUUAUGAGUGUUGUCUCGAUCGCGCCUCUGUCUUGUCAAGUCUCACAGCAGCCGGUCAUCUGUGACACACCAAACAGGCCGGACAGCGAGAGAGAUGAGAGACAGAUACAUAAAUGAGGCCUUCCUAUCACUGCAGCAGCUCUGCAUUAUUAAACAUCCACUAAAUAUUAAUCUGCCUUUACACCACAGGCCAGAAACAUGCAGACUGAACCUGAACACACAAAGACAACACGGCUUUCUGCAACAUAUGUUUUAAACAAUUUGCAACACAUUUUUCUUACAUAAUCAGCAUACUUGUGUUGCAUUAUGAUUUGCAUAAAAUUGGAU
rnacentral:lncRNA from 1 species